rnacentral:tRNA from 1 species
GCCUGAUUUGGGGUAGCGGCCCUGCGCGUCCUUGGUAAGGACGAGACCGGGGGUUCAAAUCCCCCCUCAGGCU